GGAAGAGUGGUGUAGCAGGUCUGCACGUUAGUCUGAAAAACUAAAGGUACAGGUUCGAAAUACGAAGUAUUCGUGAAUACUAUAAAUAAAUAUAAAAUUCAUGAACAAUCCUGUCUGUUCCA
rnacentral:tRNA from 1 species